GAUGAACGCUGGCGGCGUGCCUAACACAUGCAAGUCGAGCGAUUUACUCCGGUAAAGAGCGGCGGACGGGUGAGUAACGCGAGGGUAACCUGCCCUGUACACACGGAUAACAUACCGAGAGGUAUGCUAAUACGAGAUAAAAUACUUUUAUCUCAUGGUAGAAGUAUCAAAGCUCUGGCAGUACAGGAUGGACCCGCGUCUGAUUAGCUAGUUGGUAAGGGAACGGCUUACCAAGGAGACGAUCAAUAGCCGACCUGAGAGGGUGAUCGGCCACAUUGGAACUGAGGCACGGUCCAGACUCCUACGGGAGGCGGCAGUGGGGAAUAUGGCACAAUGGGGGAAGGCGUAAUGCAGCAUCGCCACGUGAGCGAUGAAGGCCUUCGGGUCGUAAAGCUCUGUCCUCAAGGAAGAUAAUGACGGUACUUGAGGAGGAAGCCCCGGCUAACUACGUGCCAGCCGCCGCCGUAA
rnacentral:rRNA from 1 species